GCCCCGUUAGCUCAAUUGGUUAGAGCAUCUGACUCUUAAUCAGAGGGUUCCAGGUUCGAGUCCUGGACGGGGCA
rnacentral:tRNA from 1 species